AUUAAUUUUGGUUUAGGAGUAUAUAAGCAGACGAGACUUCUUAGAGAGACUGGCGCCCAAAAAGACGCACGAGAAGGAGCAAUAACAGGUCUGUGAUGCCCUAAGAUGUCCGGGGCCGCACGCGUGCUACAAUGACGAUAUUAAUGAGCAUGAUUAACUGGUCCGAGAGGAUUGGUAAAACUGUUCAAGCAUCGUCGUGACUGGGAUUGGGGUUUGCAAUUGUCCCCCAUGAACCAGGAAUUCCUAGUAAGCGCAAGUCAUAAGCUUGUGCUGAUUACGUCCCUGCCCUUUGUACACACCGCCCGUCGCUACUACCGAUUGAAUGGUUUAGCAAGGUCAUUGGAUUGAGUCCAGGUGGCUUACGCUGCUUGGUCUUGAGAAGAUGGCCGAACUUGAUCAUUUAGAGGAAGUAAAAGUCGUAACAAGGUUUCCGUAGGUGAACCUGCGGAAGGAUCAUUAUCAAGUUCUAUACCUAUUCUCUGAAUGCGGCAACGUGUUCUUUGAAUGCUUGGGCUGUUAAGUUGGGAAACCGCCCUUCAUGCCCGCUUAUGAUACAGAAGUGGCCUGUACCAUAAUCAUGGUAAACUCUGCUAUGGUUAGAGGUACUACGUCGCACACACCCCUUUGUGUUUUGUCCGGGGUGCUUUACAACCUAUCACUGUAUAAUUUGUAUUAAUUUGGUGGAGAGUUUGAUUCUGCGACUAGUUGUUUCGGGUGACCGAAACGAUGAAAGUAGUUUCUUGCUUGAAGCCCGGUAUUGAAUCUGUCUUACGACUGUAU
rnacentral:rRNA from 1 species